rnacentral:rRNA from 1 species
AGCUCCAAUAGCGUAUACUAAAGUUGUUGUGGUUAAAAAGCUCGUAGUUGGAUUUGUGGUGUGGGUUUUGUCUGGUCCGGCGGCUGAUGUCGUUUCGUGUACCGGCGGCCCGCUGCCAUGCGGCACCCAGCAAUGGGCGCCCAAUUACUGUGAACAAAUCGGAGCGUUCCAGGCAGACUAACGUCUUGAACACUUCAGCAUGGAAUAAUGCGAUAGGACUCGGGCCCUAUUUCGUUGGCUUUGUCGGCUUGAGUAAUGAUUGAUAGGGACAGUUGGGGGUGCUAGUACUCUGCGGCCAGCGGUGAAAUGCUGUGAUUCGCGGAAGACUGACUAGUGCGAAAGCAUUCACCAAGGAUGUCUUCUUUA